ensembl:lncRNA
UGAUGUUGGAUUCUUUUUUUUUUUUAACAAUAAUUGACCGUUAAAUACGUUUGUUUUCUAAUUCACCCUGAGACUUUUUGAGCAGAAAAUCAUUUCAUUUUGAAGAAGUGCUGAAUUAUGAUGAAGCGUGUUGUUGAAAAUGUGUACAUAUCUGUUAUUCUUUUUGUAUUUAUUCACAAUUGUCCCCGUUUACCCAAUAUGAGCCGAACAGAGUAUUUCUGCCCUCCUGCCUCGUUCUGUGUUCGCGGACAUCGACGAGAUCGGCCUGGUUUCUCUGAAUCUCGCAGAAUUCGCUCGUUCGAGUUCGAGCAAUACCAGCUGACACGCAAACACAUAUGAACUUUGGCUGCUGCAGGCAGAUAACAACAACCUGUAGUCCGUUUGGUAAAAAUGCUGUGCAGCAAAGUAUUUUGUUACGCUAUGAAUCCAAACUGCUAUUCAAUGAAGUUUCAUUGGCUGUGGCUCUCCGAAAAGUGUUUUGAUUUUUGGGUGUAAUUUUUUCUAAGGUUGAUCAUGACCCUUGUUAAUUCUGCUGUAUUUUGAUGGAGAAACCGGGGCCCAAAUGUCAUGUCUCAAUACCCCCCCCCCCCACACACACACACACACACACACACACAGACUAGGUACUCGCCAGUGGUUUACCCAGCUACCCCGCGGUGUACAGUUAACACGCCUUCAAUUCCUCUUUUCUCCGUUUAACGCCACGUACCAAACCCGUGUUCCGGGGAAGAACUGGUUUGUGUUGGGCUAAUGGACUGGAAACCCUGGUUUACGUGGGAGUUCUAUGACAUUUGUUUCCCCUCAGUAUCUUCUCAUGUGUACCUACAGGUCAAAGGUGAUAAUUGUUGAUAGUAAAAGAAUGGGAGGUUUCAGUGUGUUGCAGCUAAAACUAAGUUCAUGAAUUUCAGAGCAGUUGUAUAUUAUCUUUUGCCAAUGAAUGACAUAUUCCCAGUUUAUUUUUCUUUGUUUUUAAGCCUCUUACUUUUUUUUCUUUUCACUUUGUCAUAAUGGCCAGAUCUUUAAUCGAUAUCUAUUUAUAUAAAUAUUUGCGAUAUUAAAACCAAAUCUAUAUAUUUGUAAAAGUGUACCCGGCAACUGCGGUGAAAGA